rnacentral:rRNA from 1 species
ACCGUCAACUUUUGUGUGGGAAGGGUCGGGUUUACUCCCAACCCCUGUGAACAUACCAAUUGUUGCCUCGGCGGAUCAGCCCGCUCCCGGUAAAACGGGACGGCCCGCCAGAGGACCCCUAAACUCUGUUUCUAUAUGUAACUUCUGAGUAAAACCAUAAAUAAAUCAAAACUUUCAACAACGGAUCUCUUGGUUCUGGCAUCGAUGAAGAACGCAGCAAAAUGCGAUAAGUAAUGUGAAUUGCAGAAUUCAGUGAAUCAUCGAAUCUUUGAACGCACAUUGCGCCCGCCAGUAUUCUGGCGGGCAUGCCUGUUCGAGCGUCAUUUCAACCCUCAAGCCCUCGGGUUUGGUGUUGGGGAUCGGCGAGCCCUUGCGGCAAGCCGGCCCCGAAAUCUAGUGGCGGUCUCGCUGCAGCUUCCAUUGCGUAGUAGUAAAACCCUCGCAACUGGUACGCGGCGCGGCCAAGCCGUUAAACCCCCAACUUCUGAAUGUUGACCUCGGAUCAGGUAGGAAUACCCGCUGAACUUAAGCAUAUCAAUAGGCGGAGGAAAUCAUUACGGAGUUUAAACUCCCAACCCUGUGAAAAUACCAAUUGUUGCUUGGCGGAUCGCCCGCUCCCGGUAAACGGGAGGCCGCCGAGGACCCUUAAAUCUUUUUCUAUAUGUACUUCGGAGUAAAAACAAAAAUUAAAUCAAAAUUUUCAACGGAUCUUGGGUUCGGGUUCCUG